GACGAACGCUGGCGGCGUGCUUAACACAUGCAAGUCGAACGGAAAGGCCUGCUUUCCCUUGUGGAUUGCGGGUACUCGAGUGGCGAACGGGUGAGUAACACGUGAGUGAUCUGCCCCCAACUUGGGUAUAAGCCUGGGAAACUGGGCCUAAUUCCCGAUAGGACUGCAGGGUGGUGCCUGUGGUGGAAAACGAUUUUCUAGUGGUUGGGGAUGAGCUCGCGGCCUAUCAGCUUGUUGGUGGGGUAAUGGCCUACCAAGGCGGCGACGGGUAGCCGGCCUGAGAGGGUGGACGGACACAUUGGGACUGAGAUACGGCCCAGACGGCUACGGGAGGCAGCAGUGGGGAAUAUUGCACAAUGGGCGGAAGCCUGAUGCAGCGACGCCGCGUGGGGGAUGACGGCCUUCGGGUUGUAAACUCCUUUCGACCGCGAGGAAGCCACCUGGUUGGAAGGGUGGUGACGGUAGUGGCAGAAGAAGCACCGGCUAACUACGUG
rnacentral:rRNA from 1 species